UUAAUCUGUCGUCGGCUGUAGUGGCAACGCCUUCCACUGACCUCUGGCUGUUUUACAUGUACACAUGUUGGAGAAGGCUGGUACUGGUACUUCCCCUGCUCCACACUUUUUUGCUCAGCUCCAAGAUGUUUGCGAUUCGAUCUGGUGUGCUAUUCCUUCUGAUAUCAUAAUAUCCAAUUGUGGGUAUAUGUAUGAUUCCUUUGAGAUCGUUGAAUCAGGUCAUUGGACUAUUUCUGUUGCUACUCUUUGCUUAAAUAUGCACUGGAAUAUUUUGGAAUGUCUGAUCUGCCGAUCAUCAACUCAGGAUGCAGAAGAGUAAACUGAAGUCAAAUCAAAGAUAAAAGAGAAGGAAAAUGCUACUGUCUUUAGCAUAUCAACCGGAUAGAGUUCAGAAUGCGGAGGAAGCAAGGGGAGUGGAUCAACAACUCAACGAGUCUGUCGUGGAGGUCACAAGGAACCCUUAUGAAGGACAUGGACGACAAAUGUCAUGCUCACAAAUGCAAGGUGACCAGCACUAUGGUCUGGGACAGUGUGGUCGCCAAGAUCCUAGAGCACCUUGUCGCUAGCGGGGCUUCUCCGAGCGAUCCAGGAAGAGCGAGCCAUGGAACUCAGCGCUAGGUGCGGCCUCAUGGGAGUGGCAGGACUCAAAUCUAAUGUAUCCACUCACAUCUCUCAAGGCAGAGCAUCAAUCCAGUAGUUGUAGACGACUCACACCAGGGUAGUGGCCGAGAUAAGGUCAUCACCUAAGGCCGUGAGGGCGCUAGCCAUCGUGGGAGAUACAGGUGGCGCCGGUGUUAUAAUCCACCCCGUAGCAACGGGCGAAUCCAUGUUUACAUAUAAAUCAAAUGUUGUUAUAUGCCUUUGUACUUGAUUGUGUUUUACUAUGUUUGGAUAACUAGAAUUUUCUAUUAUAAAAUUCUCCUGUUGUAGGUACGUGGUUCACUUGAACUGAAGGUGUAAUCUGCCAUUGCAUUUACGACAAAGACAAACCUGCAAUCUACAUAUGUUUAUAGGGGCUUCGAGAGGGAGGAAGAUCUGGAGUUGGCUGGAAUGCUGGAUCCGUCGGUGGGCUCAUGGGGGCUAGAUGGGGCUGAGGGACAAGAAGAGGAACCAG